rnacentral:lncRNA from 1 species
GUCUCCAUAGCAAGGAUCACCCACAAAGUCACAAGCACAAGUAAUAACAUUUCUUUAAUUUAAAAACAUUGUUUAAACAUUUGUUUAAUUUUAUCUUCACUCUAGUAAAGAUGGUAGAAAUGCAGCUGAUUCAGCAUAAUGAGCUGGUGUACCUGGAGGAGGAGCUGAAGCAAUAUAUAGCAGCACAACCGGGCAGAGGCCUCUGAGUCUGAGAUUGGGAAAACCCGCUGGAUGAUGAGCCUUUUGUUUUAGAUUGAGGGUAAUUCGAUCUAAAGGAUGCACGGUGAGGAGGUGGCAUGCCGUGUCACAUUCAUCUAUUUGCCGAAUGGAGAGUAGUGAGAGAUGUUUCCGAAGCUGUUGUCAGAAGAAAGGGACAAGUCAUGAAGUUUCCUACAGGUUACAACAAGGCAAAAAGUGACUACUAUUCAGAAGCAGUUUUUCCAGUACUGCAGAUUUCCAGGAGUUGCUGUUGAUGGGACACAUGUUUACAUCAGGAGCCCUGGUGGGGCAAGAGCCAGGUACUACUUCAAUAGGAAGAACAGGUACUCCAUCGAUGUUCAGGUUGUCUGUGAUUAUGCUGGGAAAAUAAUUAGUACCGUUGCAAGGUGGCCUGGACUAGUAGCAGCCAUGACGCCAGGAUCUUUUGUGCACUGAAUUGACAGCUUGAUGCUAGGGCAUAUGAAUAACAGUUGAUUCUUGGAGAUAGACUAUAGGGUAUCCAUGCCUUCUCUGCCUCAUCAGAAGUCAUUUCUUCAUUCAGAGGGUCGACCACGGAUGUGCUUUAAAGGCCAUCUGUACUAGUUCAG